rnacentral:rRNA from 1 species
UACAGAGGGGGCGAGCGUUGUUCGGAAUUACUGGGCGUAAAGGGCGCGUAGGCGGCCUUCUAAGUCGAACGUGAAAUCCCCGGGCUCAACCCGGGAACUGCGUCCGAUACUGGGAGGCUUGAAUCCGGGAGAGGGAUGUGGAAUUCCAGGUGUAGCGGUGAAAUGCGUAGAUAUCUGGAGGAACACCGGUGGCGAAGGCGGCAUCCUGGACCGGUAUUGACGCUGAGGCGCGACAGCGUGGGGAUCAAGCAGG